CUCUGAUUAGCCGGGCAGUGGUAGUGAAAGACCCCCAGAGCGGGGAGACCCUCACUCAAGUCUCGGGAUGAUGUGAUCCCCCCAAGAACUCACGUGAGACC
rnacentral:pre_miRNA from 14 species